GCAUCUCUCCCUUCUCUAGUAACGCGGCCCUGGCUGCCCGUCCCUCCUGGCUCAGUGGAGUGAGCCCAGCUUGUUCAGCUUCGGGGAGACGGUACUCCAUCUUCCUCUAGGAAUUACCUCCCCCAGACUCCGGCUGCCUCUUGCUAUUUAGGUGUCACCUUGUUGCCCAGGGCAGCUUCCCACGGAAUCAACACAUGGAAGAUGAGAGGCUUUAAAAGGCGUCAGUGAGAGCCG
rnacentral:lncRNA from 1 species